AUUGAACGCUGGCGGCAUGCUUAACACACGCAAGUCGAACGGCAGCAUGACCUAGCUUGCUAGGUUGAUGGCGAGUGGCGAACGGGUGAGUAACGCGUAGGAAUAUACCUUAAAGAGUGGGGCAACUUGGGGAAACUCAAGCUAAUACCGCAUAAGUUCUUAGGAAGAAAGCUGGGGACCGAAAGGCCUGGCGCGUUAAGAUUAGCCUGCGUCCGAUUAGCUAGUUGGUAGGGUAAAGGCCUACCAAGGCGACGAUCGGUAGCUGGUCUGAGAGGAUGGCCAGCCACACUGGAACUGAGACACGGUCCAGACUCCUACGGGAGGCAGCAGUGGGGAAUAUUGGACAAUGGGGGGAACCCUGAUCCAGCAAUGCCGCGUGUGUGAAGAAGGCCUGAGGGUUGUAAAGCACUUUUAGUGGGGAGGAGUUGUUAUAGGUUAAGAGCUAAUAAUGAGGACGUUACCCACAGAAAAAGCACCGGCUAACUCCGUGCCAGCCGCCGCAGUAA
rnacentral:rRNA from 1 species